rnacentral:rRNA from 1 species
UACGAAGGGGGCUAGCGUUGCUCGGAAUCACUGGGCGUAAAGCGCACGUAGGCGGCUUCUUAAGUCAGGGGUGAAAUCCUGGAGCUCAACUCCAGAACUGCCUUUGAUACUGAGAGCUUGAGUCCGGGAGAGGUGAGUGGAACUGCGAGUGUAGAGGUGAAAUUCGUAGAUAUUCGCAAGAACACCAGUGGCGAAGGCGGCUCACUGGCCCGGUACUGACGCUGAGGUGCGAAAGCGUGGGGAGCAAACAGGG